AUUGAACGCUGGCGGCAUGCCUUACACAUGCAAGUCGAACGGUAACGGGCCUUCGGGUGCCGACGAGUGGCGAACGGGUGAGUAAUACAUCGGAACGUGCCCGAUCGUGGGGGAUAACGAGGCGAAAGCUUUGCUAAUACCGCAUACGAUCUACGGAUGAAAGCAGGGGACCGCAAGGCCUUGCGCGGACGGAGCGGCCGAUGGCAGAUUAGGUAGUUGGUGGGAUAAAAGCUUACCAAGCCGACGAUCUGUAGCUGGUCUGAGAGGAUGAUCAGCCACACUGGGACUGAGACACGGCCCAGACUCCUACGGGAGGCAGCAGUGGGAAAUUUUGGACAAUGGGCGCAAGCCUGAUCCAGCCAUGCCGCGUGCAGGAUGAAGGCCUUCGGGUUGUAAACUGCUUUUGUACGGAACGAAAAGCCUUCUUUUAAUACAGGAGGGUCAUGACGGUACCGUAAGAAUAAGCACCGGCUAACUACGUG
rnacentral:rRNA from 1 species